rnacentral:rRNA from 1 species
AACGAACGCUGGCGGCAUGCCUAACACAUGCAAGUCGAACGAGACCUUCGGGUCUAGUGGCGCACGGGUGCUUAACGCGUGGGAACCUGCCCUUAGGUUCGGAAUAACUCCCCGAAAGGGGUGCUAAUACCGGAUAAUGUCUUCGGACCAAAGAUUUAUCGCCUUUGGAUGGGCCCGCGUUGGAUUAGCUAGUUGGUAGGGUAAAAGCCUACCAAGGCGACGAUCCAUAGCUGGUCUGAGAGGAUGAUCAGCCACACUGGGACUGAGACACGGCCCAGACUCCUACGGGAGGCAGCAGUGGGGAGUAUUGGACAAUGGGCGAAAGCCUGAUCCAGCAAUGCCGCGUGAGUGAUGAAGGCCUUAGGGUUGUAAAGCUCUUUUACCCGGGAUGAUAAUGACAGUACCGGGAGAAUAAGCUCCGGCUAACUCCGUG